rnacentral:rRNA from 1 species
UACAGAGGGUGCGAGCGUUAAUCGGAAUUACUGGGCGUAAAGCGUGCGCAGGCGGUUCGGAAAGAAAGAUGUGAAAUCCCAGGGCUCAACCUUGGAACUGCAUUUUUAACUACCGGGCUAGAGUGUGUCAGAGGGAGGUGGAAUUCCGCGUGUAGCAGUGAAAUGCGUAGAUAUGCGGAGGAACACCGAUGGCGAAGGCAGCCUCCUGGGAUAACACUGACGCUCAUGCACGAAAGCGUGGGGAGCAAACAGG